rnacentral:lncRNA from 12 species
CCGUGACCUGCUGAGUCAUCUCUGACCAAAUUCAGAAUAACUAUUUUUAAGUAGAUGCUUUUAAUAAUUCUAAUAAUUAUUUUGGAUAUUCUAAGGAGAAUAAGAAUUUUUCCAUUCACUUCAGUCUUUUCCAAGCACAAGGAACAGCCUAUUGGACAGUGUGAGAAGAAAACAACAACACAGAAUAAAUG